UACGAAGGGGGCUAGCGUUGCUCGGAAUUACUGGGCGUAAAGGGCGCGUAGGCGGUUAGUUUAGUCAGAGGUGAAAGCCCAGGGCUCAACCUUGGAACUGCCUUUGAUACUGGCUAUCUUGAGUACGGGAGAGGUGUGUGGAACUCCGAGUGUAGAGGUGAAAUUCGUAGAUAUUCGGAAGAACACCAGUGGCGAAGGCGACACACUGGCCCGUUACUGACGCUGAGGCGCGAAAGCGUGGGGAGCAAACAGG
rnacentral:rRNA from 1 species